rnacentral:rRNA from 1 species
UGGGGAAUAUUGGACAAUGGGCGCAAGCCUGAUCCAGCCAUGCCGCGUGAGUGAUGAAGGCCUUAGGGUUGUAAAGCUCUUUCACCGGUGAAGAUAAUGACGGUAACCGGAGAAGAAGCCCCGGCUAACUUCGUGCCAGCAGCCGCGGUAAUACGAAGGGGGCUAGCGUUGUUCGGAUUUACUGGGCGUAAAGCGCACGUAGGCGGACUAUUAAGUCAGGGGUGAAAUCCCGGGGCUCAACCCCGGAACUGCCUUUGAUACUGGUAGUCUUGAGUUCGAGAGAGGUGAGUGGAAUUCCGAGUGUAGAGGUGAAAUUCGUAGAUAUUCGGAGGAACACCAGUGGCGAAGGCGGCUCACUGGCUCGAUACUGACGCUGAGGUGCGAAAGCGUGGGGAGCAAACAGG